CCUACGGGGAGCAGCAGUGGGGAAUAUUGGACAAUGGGCGAAAGCCUGAUCCAGCCAUGCCGCGUGUGUGAAGAAGGCCUUCGGGUUGUAAAGCACUUUCAGUGGGGAAGAAAGCCUUGGGGCUAAUACCCUCGAGGAAGGACAUCACCCACAGAAGAAGCACCGGCUAACUCCGUGCCAGCAGCCGCGGUAAUACGGAGGGUGCGAGCGUUAAUCGGAAUUACUGGGCGUAAAGCGCGCGUAGGCGGUCUGAUAAGCCGGUUGUGAAAGCCCCGGGCUCAACCUGGGAACGGCAUCCGGAACUGUCAGGCUAGAGUGCAGGAGAGGAAGGUAGAAUUCCCGGUGUAGCGGUGAAAUGCGUAGAGAUCGGGAGGAAUACCAGUGGCGAAGGCGGCCUUCUGGACUGACACUGACGCUGAGGUGCGAAAGCGUGGGUAGCAAACAGGAUUAGAUACCCCGGUCGUC
rnacentral:rRNA from 1 species